UACGGAGGGGGCUAGCGUUGUUCGGAAUUACUGGGCGUAAAGCGCGUGUAGGCGGUCCGGUAAGUCCGCUGUGAAAGUCGAGGGCUCAACCCUCGAAUGCCGGUGGAUACUGUCGGGCUUGAGUACGGGAGAGGCGAGUGGAAUUCCUGGUGUAGCGGUGAAAUGCGCAGAUAUCAGGAGGAACACCGAUUGCGAAGGCAGCUCGCUGGAACGUUACUGACGCUGAGACGCGAAAGCGUGGGGAGCAAACAGG
rnacentral:rRNA from 1 species